UGCGUAGGCGGCCAGAUAAGUCAGAGGUGAAAGGCUCCCGCUCAACGGGAGAAUUGCCUUUGAAACUAUUUGGCUUGAAUCAGGUUGAGGUAGGCGGAAUGUGACAUGUAGCGGUGAAAUGCUUAGAUAUGCCAUAGAACACCAAUUGCGAAGGCAGCUUACUAGACCUGUAUUGACGCUGAGGCACGAAAGCGUGGGGAGCGAACAGGAUUAGAUACCCUGGUAGUCC
rnacentral:rRNA from 1 species